GCUAAAGUUUAGGAAUUAUAUUGGAUAAAUUAAAAGUUUAAGACUUUUGAACUAUUUAUAUCAUUUUCCUUUCUUAAAAUCAUUUGAUGUUGUAUGCAUCAUGUCAAUGUUUUCCUCGAUCGGGUUAGCUUGACAUUCAUUUACAAAUCUUGUGGCUGAAGGAAGAGGGUUUAACCUUAUGUUCAAUUGUCACAUUUUAGUCUUAUCAUUUGAAUUUUAUCACAAAAACGACCCUUACCUUUUUAUUUUGCCUCGGAUUUAGCGAAUUAUGAACUUAGUACUGCAAAGGACCUGUCAUCUUCUCAAUACUCAACACACACUUGGCACUCGUGCGGUGCAAAGCUGGUAAAAUCAUUGCUUAAAUUUAUCAUUAUUCACUAAUCUUAGGUGGUGUUGGUCAUAUAGCGGCUGAAACUUUAAUUUCAAUCACCUAAUUUGCGUGACUUUUGGAUCAUUUGGCUUGAGUGCGAUCCAUUUUUCAAUGAGAUACUGACAUGGCGUACAAGUUGUGAUGCGGGGUGCGUGUGCCAUGUCGGCCCUAGCAAAAAUAAAAUAAAAUAAAAAUCUAGAAGUAAAUUCGAAAAAUAUGACCAAAAAAGGACAGAAAAUAGGAAAAAGGACAAUGGGUUGCCGGACCUCCGCCACCGUCACAAAAGGGCUGGGGCUGCCUCUACGACAUCGGCUAAAGGCCAUGCGGACCCUCAACUACAACGGCAGAGGGCCGCGCGAUCCUUUGCGGUGGUCCAUGGGGCCGUCUGCACCUUCCUCGACAGUAACAUAUACUCUAGCAGCCCCUACCGUGGUUUGCAAAGGGUCACGCCACUCUCCGCAGCUGCAAGCAGUGGGUUGUUGUACUGUGCAAAGGGCGAUGCAACCCUCUGCGAUGGCGGCGUAGCGCCGGCGACCCUUCAUCUGAGAUGUCGUAUUGCAGAUAUGUGUCUGGAUCGCCUUCUAUAACCUUGCACGCAUGGAGGAGCGCAAUCACUACGGCUGCUGCGAUUCUGGGGAGUGAAGCCAUCAUGUUUGUUGUAGGGGUGGCUGAGGGGCGUGAACACGCAUUGCAAUCAGAUGAGAGAGUGGCCCAUUGCCCUUUUCCGUGGCUGAAGCAAGUAUCGGUAGAGACUUCGUGCAUCACAUUUUAAUAAUUAUAGAAGCCAGAGUUUGAUGUUCGGUUGACUAAAUCUUGAAGGAUAUACUUCAUCAAACCAAUGUAAGAGAGGAUGUUUUUGCGUCUCCCUUACAGAUUUUGUA